rnacentral:rRNA from 1 species
CCUCCCGAGUGCUUGCACUCAUUUGGAAAGAGGAGUGGCGGACGGGUGAGUAACACGUGGGUAACCUACCCAUCAGAGGGGGAUAACACUUGGAAACAGGUGCUAAUACCGCAUAACAGUUUAUGCCGCAUGGCAUAAGAGUGAAAGGCGCUUUCGGGUGUCACUGAUGGAUGGACCCGCGGUGCAUUAGCUAGUUGGUGAGGUAACGGCUCACCAAGGCCACGAUGCAUAGCCGACCUGAGAGGGUGAUCGGCCACACUGGGACUGAGACACGGCCCAGACUCCUACGGGAGGCAGCAGUAGGGAAUCUUCGGCAAUGGACGAAAGUCUGACCGAGCAACGCCGCGUGAGUGAAGAAGGUUUUCGGAUCGUAAAACUCUGUUGUUAGAGAAGAACAAGGACGUUAGUAACUGAACGUCCCCUGACGUAUCUAACCAGAAAGCCACG